UUGAACGCUGGCGGCAUGCUUUACACAUGCAAGUCGAACGGCAGCGCGGGCUUCGGCCUGGCGGCGAGUGGCGAACGGGUGAGUAAUGCAUCGGAACGUGCCCAGUAGUGGGGGAUAGCCCGGCGAAAGCCGGAUUAAUACCGCAUACGACCUGAGGGUGAAAGCGGGGGACCGAAAGGCCUCGCGCUAUUGGAGCGGCCGAUGUCGGAUUAGCUAGUUGGUGGGGUAAAGGCUUACCAAGGCGACGAUCCGUAGCUGGUCUGAGAGGACGACCAGCCACACUGGGACUGAGACACGGCCCAGACUCCUACGGGAGGCAGCAGUGGGGAAUUUUGGACAAUGGGGGCAACCCUGAUCCAGCCAUGCCGCGUGCGGGAAGAAGGCCCUCGGGUUGUAAACCGCUUUUGUUCGGGAAGAAAUCCUCUGGGCUAAUACCCCGGGGGGAUGACGGUACCGGAAGAAUAAGCACCGGCUAACUACGUG
rnacentral:rRNA from 1 species